AGUUCCCCUGUGAUCAGAGGCAAGGUUAAAGGAGGGCUUGGCUGAGGUUUCUCCUUGCACUGUUUUUGUUCCCUUUCUAGAAACCAGCUGUAACACUAGGUCAGAGCGCAUUCAGAAUGAGCCACUUUGAACGAGCAGCGGCGCCCAGGCCCCAGGCCCUGCUGUGAAGGCUCCGGCAAAGGUCAGAGCUCCGGCCCCCCGUGACGUGCCUGCCUGUGCUCUCCGAGCUAUGCUCAGCCUCAGCUAAGGUAUCCGCGCUUCUAAAACAACAGGAAUGUUGCACUGGCCUUCGGCCAGCGGAGGCUCAGCGAGCAGGAUAAAAUUUCAGUGCAGAUUUACGGGAAGUUGCCGGUGUUGGGAGUAAAAAUCUGGUUUGCUCAGGUAACACACAAGUUAGAAGAACAGCUUGUUUCCUGCUACGCAGCCACCCUCAGCAGUUCCCAGCUCACUGAAGUUCGGGUUU
rnacentral:lncRNA from 1 species